AAUUAUUACAACUCUUCACAAAUUUGUUUAGCAGAUUUUCUGAUACUGGUUGGAAAACCCAG
ensembl:snRNA LOC120103249 U7 small nuclear RNA